ACUGAAUUCUCUUUCAUUGAGCUCCCUUUUGCCCCCAUCCUGCUGCUGCUGAAGUCAACAGCAAAAGUCCUUUGACUUGCGCCGCGUUGGAAUAAGUGCCCUGCCUGGCCAAUAAAAGAGGAGUCAGUCCUACCAGAAGGAAUCAAGUGCUGGUCACAGACAGCCGCUGUAAUGAUUUAUAGCAGCUCUGCCCUGCAGUAGAUUCCAAGGACAUGGUACCAUUUGAACGAGGCUGGAUAUGAGAACGUGGAAAGAGAUGGUGUGGAGAAGAAAGCCUUUAGGAUAGCAGCUGUUCUGAGACUACCAGAAAAACCUUUGAGAGUGAAAUCCUAUGGCUGUGCAGGCAGUGAGGAGGCCCUGAUCUCAAGAGCUUUGUGCGGACAGAGCCUGAUGGAGGGCAGGGCGGCUGUGCGAAAGCUUGGCGUUUCUUCCUCUCCUGAGCCCGCUGCAAGGUCAGAGAUUGGGCUGUGAUCCAGUGCCCGCAACCUCCUUUCUGUCGCAGGGUAACACCUGUGUCUUGGACCUUUGCACGCAUCUGCGUGGCCCAGGGGCUCUGAAGCGUCCCUCUGAAUAGCUGCCGCGGCUUGAGGACCUGCGUCUCUGCACUCACCCACAGCUACAGGCUCAGAAAAACAAGCAAUGCGUUGAACUGACAAAAACCGCACGCAACGGUGGGCUAAAGACUUCUGUGUCAAGGCCACCAAGGAAAAAUAUCUCACUUUCCUCCCUAGAUGGGCUACAGACUCCGCCUCGAAGGGCUGCAUGCGGUGCUGCUGCAGGGUGCUGGGGCUGCUUUCCCCCCGGUGCCUGAGCGCUGGCCGGGCAUGAAUGUGGGUGUGGGUGAGCAAGGGCUGCUACUUCCCAGCCAAACCAGCGUGGGUGAAGGAAUAGCUAUUUGUCUGUGCCAGGUUCACAGAAUAUGUGAAGCGUGUGGGUACUGGUAGGGCACACAUACGCCAAUUCUCUUUCGGUCUUGGUUUUCCACAUGUAAAACAAUACAGUAAUUCCUCUGUAUAUGGCACGAAUAUUUUAAAGCAAAAUCCAUUAAAGAUUGUGAUGAGGUCAAAUACCGUAGUAGUGGGAACCAUAUGCAUUUGCAAUGGGCUG